CGGAGGGUGCAAGCGUUAUCCGGAUUCACUGGGUUUAAAGGGUGCGUAGGCGGGUUGGUAAGUCCGUGGUGAAAUCCCCAAGCUUAACUUGGGAACUGCCGUGGAUACUAUCAAUCUUGAAUAUCGUGGAGGUAAGCGGAAUAUGUCAUGUAGCGGUGAAAUGCUUAGAUAUGACAUAGAACACCAAUUGCGUAGGCAGCUUACUACACGAUCAUUGACGCUGAUGCACGAAAGCGUGGGGAGCAAACAGGAUUAGAUACCCUGGUAGUCCACGCCCUAAACGAUGGAUACUCGACAUCAGCGAUACACUGUUGGUGUCUGAGCGAAAGCAUUAAGUAUCCCACCUGGGAAGUACGAUCGCAAGAUUG
rnacentral:rRNA from 1 species